rnacentral:sRNA from 1 species
UUCAAUGGCCAGAAUUGAAAAGAUUUUGUAAUUUCUUCAUAUGACUUCGAUAAAAAGCGAUUUUAUUGGUGUAGUCGAUGAUUUUUUUAUUCCCUCAGAGUAAGAUUAACUGCCUCCAAAGCCACCAUAACGUACCGGAAAAUCUGUUUAACAAGGGAUUUUUGGAUCCAUAAAAUCAAUCUUUAUAUCCAAAAAGAACAGUUGGUAGCGUAAAGAUUUUCGAGCACAAGAAUGAAAAGACGUCAUCAUCGAACUUUAUCCUUGCUUCCAUGAGUGAGAGAAAGAGGCCAAUACUCGCUGAACAUAGAUGGAGAUGAUGUUUAACGAUAAGAUCUGUCUGAAUCUUAAUCCUGCCAUCAUCUAAUCCAACAUUUGAGUCUCCAAGAUCCUAGAUUCGGGAUUGUAAAUCAUCUCUCAAAAAGAAAUUCAUGUCGAAAACGAAUCGACGAUGUAGAUGAGAGUCCAUUACAAUCAAAGAACAAAGAGACUCACUUAAAUAGAUAUUCAGCGGAAAGGCAUCGACACACCACCGAAAAACUCGCCGGAUUGUGGUCGGAUUGAUACUCAUCCCAAAGGAGAGGAAGAUUAUGAAGAUUUGAACAAAGAGAGCCAAAGAAUUUGUGGAAAACAUUGGCCAAAUUAUUAAUGGUUUAUAACUAGAACAGGGGAAUUGAAACUAGAAAGCAGAAGAGAAACAACCGGCCGACGUCAAGGAAACGAUGUCGGCCGGAAACAGUAGAAAACAGAAACGGUUGGUCGGAAAAGAAAGAUUUUGGGAACGUCGUCUUAUUCAGGUCUUAUUUUUUUUUGAAAAUUUUAAAUGUAAGCAGAACCAGUUUAUUCACAACUAUAAUGAUACUAUUUGAUUGAUAACCA